rnacentral:tRNA from 1 species
GGAGAGAUAGCUCAGUGGUUAAGAGCACCGGAUACUCUUCCAGAGGACCUGGGUUCAAUUCCCAGCUCCC